rnacentral:rRNA from 1 species
UACAGAGGGUGCGAGCGUUGUUCGGAUUUACUGGGCGUAAAGGGCGCGUAGGCGGCCAGCGCAAGUCAGUUGUGAAAUCUCCGAGCUUAACUCGGAAAGGUCAACUGAUACUGCGCGGCUAGAGUGCAGAAGGGGCAACUGGAAUUCUCGGUGUAGCGGUGAAAUGCGUAGAUAUCGAGAGGAACACCUGCGGCGAAGGCGGGUUGCUGGGCUGAUACUGACGCUGAUGCGCGAAAGCCAGGGGAGCGAACGGG